GAUGAAGAACGCAGCGAAAUGCGAUAAGUAAUGUGAAUUGCAGAAUUCAGUGAAUCAUCGAAUCUUUGAACGCACAUUGCGCCCGCCAGUAUUCUGGCGGGCAUGCCUGUUCGAGCGUCAUUUCAACCAUCAAGCCCCCGGCUUGUGUUGGGGACCUGCGGCUGCCGCAGGCCCUGAAAACCAGUGGCGGGCUCGCUGUCACACCGAGCGUAGUAGAUUUUCAUCUCGCUCAGGGCGUGCUGCGGGUUCCGGCCGUAAAAAGCCUUAUUUACCCAAGGUUGACCUCGGAUCAGGUAGGAAGACCCGCUGAACUUAAGCAUAUCAAUGAGCGGAGGA
rnacentral:misc_RNA from 1 species